ensembl:lncRNA
GUGUGUUCUAGUGGGUCUGGGCAGGUGUGAUGUAGUUAAUGGAGAUGGAGGUGUGUUCUAGUGGGUCUGGACAGGUGUGAUGUAGUUAAUGGAGAUGGAGGUGUGUUCUAGUGGGUCUGGACAGGUGUGACGUAGUUAAUGGAGAUGGAGGUGUGUUCUAGUGGGUCUGGGCAGGUGUGAUGUAGUUGAUGGAGAUGAAGGUGUGUUCUAGUGGGUCUGGGCUGGUGUGAUGUAGUUAAUGGAGAUGGAGGUGGGUUCUAGUGGGUCUGGGAAGGUGUGAUGUAGUUAAUGGAGAUGGAGGUGUGUUCUAGUGGGUCUAGGCAGGUGUGAUGUGGUUAAUGAAGAUGAAGGUGUGUUCUAGUGGGUCUGGGCAGGUGUGAUGUAGUUAAUGGAGAUGGAGGUGUGUUCUAGUGGGUCUGGGCAGGUGUGAUGUAGUUAAUGGAGAUGGAGGUGUGUUCUAGUGGGUCUGGGCAGGUGUGAUGUAGUUAUUGAUGUAGCAGUGAUUUGUAGAUCAAUCAGUCGCCUGCAGUGUCAAACAAGCCCAAUACCAAACUAAUCAGGUGGUUGUUCGACGAAAUGAAGCUUCACGUGCUGCUGAUAAAGUGAUACAGGCAUCAGCACACUGUUUAGUGAUUUGGACGCGGCUCG